UAAAGCGAGAUUCUGGUGGUAGAAAACAAAAUAGGAAAGUAAAAGAAAACAGCAAUAUUAAGUAUGCAGUGCAAUAUGCCAAUUCUUAUUCACAAAACAACAAAACUAAACAAUAGCAGCUUCACACCCUUCUCUUCUUCCAAUUAACCCCACCACCAAGACCCAUGGUGGAAUCCUCCGAAUCACCGUCCAAGCGACGGUCGCCACCAGCCGCUGACGACAGAAUUAGUCAGCUUCCGGACGUGCUGCUUCUCCAAAUCCUCUCUCUUCUUCCAACCAAACAGGCAGUGGUCACUGGCAUUCUCGCCAAGCGGUGGCGGCCACUGUGGCCGGCCGUGUCGGUCCUCGACCUCGACGAUGAGUCCUCUCCGGAUUCCCGCCACGGUCCCGCGGGCUUCUCAGAGUUCGUGUACUCGGUGCUCCUAUUGCACGACGCGCCGGCAAUCCAGCGGUUCCGGCUCCGCUGUGCGAACCCGAACACCUCCGCGCGCGACAUCGCAACGUGGCUGUGUCAUGUGGCGCGGCGGAGGGUGGAGCGCGUGGAGCUCUCGCUGUCGCUGUCGUGCUACGUGGCGCUCCCGCGGCGCCUCUUCAACUGCGACACGGUUUCAUCCAUGAAGCUCAACGGCGUGUUCUUCAACGCGCUCGCCUCGUUCUCCGUGCGCUUGCCUCUGCUGAGGGCUUUGCACGUGGGGGACAGGGUUCUGUUCGGGUGCCACGAUUACGUGGUGAAGCUUCUUGCUGGGUGCCCCGCGCUGGAGGACUUGGUGCUGGAAUCCACCUACAGCGAUGCUUGCGGAGGUGUCGUUUGUGCCGAGGGCAAUUUCGAGCUUAGUUUGAAACACUUGACGCAUGCGAAAAUUGGGUUUUCGUGGAAGGAGAGGUGCCUCAAGUCCAUGCUUCUCAUUUUCCAAGCGCUUUCUCACGUUAGGUGCCUCUCGCUUUCUCCCUGUACAGUUGCGUGUUUGAAGCAUGCUUCUGCCAUUGAUAUUCCAGUGUUUGACAAAUUAACCCAGCUGGAAAUUUCAUUUGGAAGCUAUUCAUGGGAUUUGUUAGCAAACUUGCUUCAACGUUCCCACAAGCUGGAAGUUCUUAUCAUUAACAAGGAAUCACAAAAAUAUGGGAAGGGACAAGAGUCAAGGUGGAGCCAUCCACUCCUCGUUCCUGAAUGCCUUUUACAUCUCAAAACGUUUUGCCUCAGAGAAUAUCAAGGAUUGGAAACUGAGCUGGAUUUUGUAGGGUAUAUUAUGCAAAAUGCUAGAGUGUUAGAGACAAUGACUAUCUACUUAUCGAGCUCCUUAAGUUCCGAGGAAAAACUCCAAAUCCGCAGGCAUUUAUCUAUACUUCAAAGGAACUUUGAAACCUGUCAAAUUGUAUUCAAUUGAAUCAUAUUCUUGAAAGGUUUGGGAGGACCAUCACAUUGAGAUGCUAAUGUAGAGGAAUCAUCAACAAAACCAGGUAUAUUAUUGAUGGGUUUACUUUGUAAACAAGUAGAAGCCAAAGUGGACACAACAGGUGAACCCAAAAACUGAUCAUGGGCAUGAGAAUAUUUAUCAGCAAGUAUGUGGAAUGCCAAUACCAUGAAGAACUUUAGUCGUUGCUCUAUUUCUUGGGAAGGAAGAGGUAGGAGACAAUAACUCAUUAAAUUCAUGAAAAAGAGCAUGAAUUUUACCCAUAUAAUCAAUCAUAGAGUCUUGAUCCCGAGGAGCAACAACAUUGAAAAGAUCGUGAUAAACACCAUAAAUAUAUUGAGUAUCAUUAGUGUAUAAUAAUUUGGCCAAUUCCCAAACUUCAGAAUAUGUAUCAUAGGAACGAAAAAAUUGUUUUAAAGAAGUAAAGGAUACCUUUGAGAAUGAUGCAUAAUUGAGCAUCAAUUUUCAUCCAUCAGGAAUAUCAAUAAUUUUAUGAGUAAUAUGAUCAACAUACCUCUGCCUUGUAAGUCAAAGUUUAAUAUCUGAUGUCCCAGUCGCAUAAUUAGUGUCUUUUAACUUAUUAAUAAACAAGUGAACAUUGACAUAGUAUAUAUGAAUGGGUCAAUCGCAUUGGUGACAGAAUAGAGAUGAGAAAAGAUAACUGUAAAAGAAGUCAUAGAUGAAUAUGAGAGAGAGAAACCCAAAAAAUUCAAGUUUCUUCAAUCAAGGCAACAAGACUAGAUCUGAAAGAAGAGAAAGAGCUGAUCUCGGCACUGGGGUCUCUGUCAGAGAAGAGUACGAAUGCGCCGCCACACGGUUGGAAACGGCAAAAGUGCAUGACUUCGGGAGGCGUGUGAUAGCACGGUAGUCACCUGGUCGAGACUAUCUAAAUUGUGUGUAGUCUCAGGUCUGAACUAGAACUCUGGUGACGUUGGCGGUUGCGGCGGUGGAAGUGGUAGAGAACAGGAAAGUUCCAGCAGUUUCAAGCCCAGCAAUUUGUAAUCAUCGAAGUAUGCCGUAGUCUGUUUUGAUUGGAGAGCAUUUUUGUUUUAGGGUCUUUCAUUUUGUUGUUAGUAAUGCUUUACAGUGUAUUAGUAUCUUUCUCUUGUUAUUGUGAAUACUUCUAAUUUGUCUGAUAUGAUCGAAACCUGACUGAGGCUCGUUAUCAGCUGUAACAUGAAUACCUGUCCCACCUGGGGAAUUCAUCCUGACAUGUUGCUUUGAAGGAAAAGUCUAUAACUGACAUUUUUAUUUUGUAUACUUCAAAGUUCGGAGCAGCUUUCUCUCGAGAAAUUGUGACCGCUCUGCAUGAUCUUGUAUAACGUCUACAACAACAUUUGUAAGCUGUUUUGUGCUGUUUAGUUUCUGACAUUUAUUUAAUAUAGUAAUGGCAAUGAAUAUACUGAAUUUUCUUA